rnacentral:rRNA from 1 species
AGCAGCCGCGGUAAUUCCAGCUCCAAUAGCGUAUAUUAAAGUUGUUGCAGUUAAAAAGCUCGUAGUUGAACUUCGGGGUUUACCCAUUGGUCAGGCUUAAUUGUCUGUACUGGUGAGAUAAAUCUCUACCUUCUGAGGAACUUUCAUGCCAUUUAGUUGGUGUGAUAGGAAAUCAGGACUGUUACUUUGAAAAAAUUAGAGUGUUUAAAGCAGGCUAACGUCUGAAUACAUUAGCAUGGAAUAAUGAAAUAGGACGGAUUGGUUCUAUUUCGUUGGUUUCUAGGAUCACCGUAAUGAUUAAUAGGGAUAGUUGGGGGCAUUAGUAUUCAAUUGUCAGAGGUGAAAUUCUUGGAUUUAUUGAAGACUAACUAUUGCGAAAGCAUUUGCCAAGGAUGUUUUCAUUAAUCAAGAACGAAAGUUAGGGGAUCGAAGACGAUCAGAUACCGUCGUAGUCUUAACCAUAAACUAUGCCGACUAGGGAUCGGACGAAGUUAAUUUUAUAAUGACGCGUUCGGCACCU